rnacentral:rRNA from 1 species
GAUAGGUUAAGUUAAUAAGGGCGCAUGGUGGAUGCCUUGGCACUAGAAGGCGAUGAAGGACGUGACUAACUACGAUAUGCCUCGGUUAGCUGUAAGUAAGCUUACCCGGGGGUUUCCGAAUGGGGCAACCCGAUCUUAAUGAUCAU